rnacentral:rRNA from 1 species
UACGUAGGGGGCUAGCGUUGUCCGGAAUCAUUGGGCGUAAAGGGCGUGUAGGCGGUCUGUUAAGUCUGGCGUGAAAGCUCUCGGCUAAACCGGGAGAGGUCGUUUGGAUACUGGCAGACUAGAGGACGGUAGAGGCGUGUGGAAUUCCUGGUGGAGCGGUGAAAUGCGCAGAUAUCAGGAGGAACACCCGUAGCGAAGGCGGCACUCUGGGCCGAUACUGACACUGAGGAGCGAAAGCGUGGGGAGCGAACAGG